GAGCUACAGCUGACGGCCUACACCACAGCCACAGCAACGCAGGAUCCAAGCCACAUCUGCUACUACCCCACAGCUCACGGCAACACUGGGUCCUUAACCCACUGAGCGAGGCCAUGGAUCGAACUCGCAUCCUCAAACCCUGCAAAGUGGCAGAGGAACAAAAAGGAAAGCCUGCAGAGAAGCGGGCAAAGGAUAUACACAGACAAUCCACAGGAAAGAAAACACACAUAGUCUGAGAAGGACCACUCAGUCCACCUGGUGAUUUUAUUAUUUACUUGUUUUGUCUUUUGUCUUUUUAUACCCCACCCAUGGCAUGUGGAGGUUCCCAGGCUAGGAGUCAAAUUGGAGCUGUAGCUGCCAGCCUAUACCACAGCCACAGCCACAUGGGAUCCGAGCUGCAUCUGUGCAACCUACCCCACAGCUCAUGGCAACACCGGACCCUUAACCCCCUGGAGCGAAGCCAGGGAUCGAACCUGCGUCCUCAUGGAUCCUAAUCAGAUUCGUUUCCUCCGAGUAACAAUGGGAACUUCUUAACUGAUCAUUUUAAAAAUGCAAAUUUUUAAAAAGAUCAGCUUCACUGGCCUUGCGCCAGGACCUCUCCCACUCGGCUGCUGAAGAAGUGAGGCACGAAUGGAUGGGUAUACUUGGAACAGGAGCAGAGUCCAACUGUGCACCUCGUCCAGCCUCAAGCAAGAGGCAUUGCUGCAUCUCAGACCCCACUUUGCACCUGAUUAUCUCCCACCAUAAUGUCUAGAGCUGGGUGUGGUUCUGUUUUCCUCUGAACUCCCUAAAUCUGCUUGUACCUUUCCCUGGCACCAGCCAUGUGCUGCCUUCUACAGCAGUUCUUGGUGAAUUUAGCCUAUAUUUUACCUCCUAAGUGCAGGAAGUCUGCAGAAUUCUCUGCAGUAGGCGCACAAUAUUUUGUACAUAACAGGAGCCCCAUAAAUAUUUCCCUAACUAAAGUAGGUGGAUGUGCGGUGCGUCAGUUCCCAGCUAACAGUCAGGAAACCAUAUGAGCUUUGCAAAAGAAUAAAUAUUAAGAGGGGGGAAGAAAAGGACAAAGUUGAACUAGAUCAGCAGUUUCCAAAGUAUGCUCCAGGGAACACAAAUCCUAUAAAAUACUACCUGAAGAAAGGCUCCUGGGUCAAAGAAUUUUGGAGAGUACCACUUAAUAGACUUCUAUCCAACCCCUUUGGAGAGCGAAAGCAGUGGUGUGCUGGGGCCAGUUUGUUCCUGCCUACAAAAGUCCAUCACUCAAUUUGCAGGAAUUUUAUGCACCAAAUGCUAUACACAGUCGUUAUUAAAAAUUAAAUAUGUAACUUAAAAGAAUUGUACUAAAAAUCAAGGUAAUAAUUAUGCAAAACAGUACUUCCUAAUUAUUUUACUGUAUCUUGCUUUUAUUCUGCUCUUGAGGUAGAAGACAUUUGUUGUAUGUGUGGCAGAGCGUGCGACGCUGUGCUACUAUAAUCUCCCCCCAGCUUCACAGUCACUGAUGUUGUGUGGGUAGCUGGAAACAGACCAGAGCGGGAAUAUUUCCACCACACGAACCCAUCACAGAAAUCACCUGCAAAGCAGAGCUUUAUCUCUGGAGAAGUGGUUAUUAAACAUUUAACAUGUGAUCACAAACCUAUCAGUCUAUUAAAAUCCCUGUAGGCUUACAGUAAACACACCUGCUUAACUAUCCAAAUCGCUCUUCUGAACUUUAUCUGCUCAUGGACUUCUUUUAAUGCAUAACACCUAUUAGCAUCCCGAGACUUGUACUUUGGGAAAAACUGAUCUAAAUGAUGGCUAAGACUUUUUCUACUUCUUAUGACACACAUAAAUGACAAGCCUCCAUGUACAAAUGUACCGUCCCACCUUAGCGUCUCAAAGUAUUGAAGGUAUAGAUAGAGUUAAAAGAUGCCGUCUUUAAAGACAGUCAAAAUAGUUUAAAAAGAAUCUUACUUCCUAGGAAACAUUAACUGAUUUAUUUACAGUUGCUCAGUUCCAUGCAACUUGCUUAAAGGCAGAAUAUCAGAUAGAAAGAUCUAUAUUUAUUCAUCUGUGAGCAAGGAACUUUAUGCCUCUCAAUCUCGUUUUCUACAUCUGUAAAAUGGGGUCCUUUACAGGAUUUUUUGAGAAAGCAGACUAGGUUACAUAUGAGGAAUUACAUGGGAAGCUGUGCAGUUAUUAUACAUAAGAGGAAAUAUGAUUUGGAUGUUUCCCUCUGAAAGUGGUGUGAUUUAAGGUUAGUUCAUGAACCCUCAUUAGCUGAGUUUGCCGGAUCUCAGAAGCUUUCUCCCAAAUGCCCUUUAGCAAAGUGGAGAAGUCCUUGGCUGAAACCCCAGAGCAACCUUCCUGUGCUCCAAGCAACAGCUCAAAAGUGAUGAUAUUAAGAUGCCCUUGGCUUCAUGGUCGAGCUCACACAAAACUACAGAUAAUGAGGGUGGGGGGAUAUGCUUGGUUAUGGGAUGGAAAUCCCGUGAAUGAUCAUUAUACAACUACAGAUGUGAUAAAUUCAUUUGAGUAAUAAAAAAAAUUGUUUUUGGGGAGUUCCUAUAGUGACUCACUGGUAGCGAACCCAGCUAGUAUCCAUGAGGAUGUGGGUUCGAUCCCUGGCCUCAUUCAGUGGGUUAAGGAUCCGGUGUUGCCAUGAGCUGUGGUGUAGGUCUCAGACACAGCUCAGAUCCAGCAUUGCUGUGGCUGUGGCGCAGGCUGGCAGCUGCAGCUGUGAUUCAAUCCCUAGCCUGGGAACUUCCAUGUUCUAUAGAUGCAGCCCUAAAAAGACAAAAUAAAUAAAUAAUAAAUAAAAACAGUGUUUUUUUGCGGGGGGAAAAAAAAAACUACAGAUAAAUCUUCAAAAGAUCUAAUCAAAGCCAGUUUUAUCCUGAUAGUCAAUGGGAAGAGGCUGAGUGGUCUCAGCACAGAGGGAAUUCAUGGUGGAUUUUUUUUUUUAAGAAGUGGCCUUUGGAGUUUCCUGGUGGCUCAUCAGGUUAAGGAUAUGGCAUUGUCACCACUGUGACUCAGGUAUCUGCUGUGGCGUGGGUUCAGCCCCUAGCCCAGGAACUUCUGCAUGCUGCAGGCCAUGUGCGAUUAGACUCGAGCGUAGAGAAAGGUGAUUUUCUCUCUCAGGUGGCCCAGAUCUGCUUUGGAACGACAUUUUCAUAAAUAAGGACAUUUUCAUGUUUUCUGAAGGUCGAAAAAUGUGAACCUGCCCCAGGAGGUCCCUUUCAAAGGUGAGUGCGAGGAGAUGGGAGGAGAAGAAGGAGAGUGCUCCACCUGGCUCUCUUUCCCUCUUUGAUCCAAAGCAGGUAAAGGGAAGGCAAAACACCCCACACACCCUUCUUCUUUGUCUGUUCCCUGCACAAGGAUGGACGCCCUUCAGCUGAGGCCACGGUGCAGCCCUUCUGCACUGGCCUGCAGGGAGUUGUCUGCUAGACGUUUAACCACUAGAGCAGGGCGAGCACCAACUGGUGCCAGAAUAGGCACCAGCUCUGGUACCACGUCCUGAAGGCCCAGCCAGGGUGCUUAGAAGGACAGGAGCCGUGGCGAGGGGGAGGCUCAAGGAAACAGCUCAUUACCAACCCAAGUGGACACAUUUCACAUUUUAACAAGUGCUAUGAGCACACCGGCUGCACGUCAGCCCUGCCUGCCUCCGCCCAUCCUUGGAAAUGAGACUUGGCUAAUGCAUAUUUUCCAGUUCCCUGACUCUAUCCUUGUGGGAUAAUUCACAUAUGGGCAACUACUGGAUCGCCCAUGUAAGUGACAGUACAAUGACUAGCUCUGCCUUGCUGAGGAAUAGAAAGGGGGCACUGAUAUUUAUCUACCACUUAUUUGUGUACCAGCGUGUUCAGUGCUUUCAUUUCAUGAUUAUCAUCUUAUUCUAUCCCAGAACAGCCCUACUGGAUAAAUACUAUCACUCUUAUGUUACAGACGUACCCUUAGAUCAGAGCUGGUUAAAUUACUAACAAAGUCACCCAGCUAAUGGUAGAGUGAAAUUUACACAGGGGUCUGUCUUGUUCCCACAAAGGGGCUCUUUCUACUGUACUUGACAGCAGAGUGGUUGAAAGCACAGGCUCUGGCACCAUACUGCCUGGAUCUGAACCCCAUCUCUGUCACUUAGCUAAGUUCCUCAGCGUCUGUGUGCCUCAGUCUCUUUAUCUUUAAAGUGGAAAUAAUGGCAUGUCCCUCAGGUUUUUGUUGGGGGGCUAAACGAGCCGUAGUCUUAGGAAGAGUCUUGCACGUAGCUUCCCCAGUAAAUAAAUAUCAGACUUCGUGCUUUUGCAUCUCUCAAGACUGCCACCCAAGCUCAGCCCAUGCCUGGCCUGGAUCCUUCUAGGGCAAUGGAUCUGAAAUCUAUUUCUGAAUUUCACCUCGUUUCUACUCCCAGGCCAAACACUGGGCGCCUAAGAAGACAUAUUUAUCAUGCUUCACUUCAUCCUUAAAUACAGAAUUUCAGAGAUAAUAUGUGGCACGUUUGCUACCUGGGGCUAUCCCUAGUGAUCUGAUACAUGGCCCUGGGGUAAUUGGGGCAGGCAGAGCGUGCCCAGAGGGCAAGGGUCAGAUCAAGGAAGUGUCCUGGGCAUCAGUCCUUCCAGGGUCAACAAGGCCCCAGGUGUCAGAACAUUGAACACAGAAAAGAAGGGACAGGAUUGAUAUCCCAAAGGGCAGGGCGCCAGGCACCUGUGGUAGAGAAAGGAGAGAAUUCAGAGGGAAGAAGGCAGAGCCAGCCUCCGUAGAAGCACCUGUGCGAUGCUGUCAGCCUGACUCAGUCUUCUUCCCCUCGGCAUCACCCCACCUCCCCUGGGGAGCUGGAGCACUUGCUACUUAGCCAGGCUUUUUCUCCCCCCUCUAUCUGUGUCUCACCACUCCUGGCCCCUUCCCAUCCUCCUCCACAAACCUGUGGUUGUCCAGGCUCGGGUCUCCCCUGGCUGGUCCCUGGAAAGCCUG
rnacentral:lncRNA from 1 species